AACCUUUCUCUCUGGGAGAAUAGCCAGUUCUUCCCCAAGGGAAUGAUCAGUGUUUACAGGUACUGAGUUAAAAAUUAAUGGUGCUUAGUCUUCUGUGGAGAAGGGCUAGUUCUCCCCGGGAGACAGCACACCUAUAUUUAAUUCUUACAAUAAGAGGUCAUGGCUUGGGCAUAAUUCUUAACAUUUCUUUAACCCGUCACCAGUCCAGCAUCCAUCCCAGUUUUUCUGAUUACCUGAGUUCCCUCUGAGGAACCAGCAUUUUUCUACUCAUCUGUCUCCAGGACUGCCUGGGACGUGCAUCUGCCAAUCAUAGCAUACAGUCCUACGGCUAUCGUGAUAUAUUUAGGGGUGGGCAUUCGACUCAAGCCAAGUCAGUCAGGCCCAGUCAAAAUCAGUCCUGGGACUUUUUGUUUUUCUUUUUUGUUUUACAUUUUUUCAUUUUCUUUUUUUUUUUUUCCAUUUUCAGUUCUGGGACUUUUGUGGGAGUGACUGGAAAAGAGUCACACAAGUGCCUUUGAACUUGAAGUUGUGAAGGGACAUACUUACAUGAGGAGAGAGCCUACUUGAUAAAGCAGAGUGGAGAGAGAUCAGAUUCUGACAUUUGAACCCCUGGAUCCAGCUGUACCUGAAACCAUAUACAGUGUACUACAUGUGGUUUGCUGAAACUGAUUCUGAAAUAUUACUGACACUGUCUCAUAGUAGCAAAACACAUAGGGAAUGAAGAUUCUAUUUUUAGCCUAGUGUUGCUUGCUGAGUGGAAAAGAAGAGCUAUUAACUUUUAUACUCCUGAAUUUGAUUAGAAACUAUUAUAGAUGUAGACACAGAGUAGAAAAUUAUGUCAAUGUAGUGGUUGGGUAAAGUAUUAACAGAUUAGGAUCAAUCUUUUUUAUUAUUCCAUGCAUUCUUCCUGAGAGCUGAGAGAAGCCAGGUGACUAGACGAACCCCUGUGCAGGUGAAACCCAUGGAUGCUUGACCGUCUUGCGUAUGUAUGUGGUAAGAUGACUUCACCCUAGUGCUCAGAUGCCCUCUGUAUGCUUGGCAGUAGCAUCAGACAGAUCCAGAUUGUGGUAAUGAGUAACUGUGGGCUGUUCUAGAUUCAGACACAGGAUGAGUUCAGAUUUUAUCCAUAGACCUGUAACUGCCCCAGCUGGAGCUUCUGAAUGAGUGAUUGAAGCCUAGCCUUCAGCUACUGUGAAUGUGCAGCAGCAGUUCAACAUUUAGUGAAUCGAAACCUCUGGGUCUGGCAUGGUAGGUCAGGGUUGACCUUGCAUGUCUCCUUGCAUGAGGAUGAGAAUACUGGUCAUUAUACUUUGGGCAAGUUCCCUAACAUUUCUGUUUAAUUUCCUCAUCUGCAAAAUGAGGAUAAUAAUAGUACCUAGCUCAUAGGAUUAUUGUGAGUGAAAUGAGUUGAUAACAUUUAAGCACUUGGAAUAGAAAUUGGCACCCUGUAAAUGUUAGUUAUCAUUAUUACUGAAAAUUAAUAAUUUUCUCCUCAGACAAACAUUUUCUCUAGAACCUGGGCAUCUGAAAUAAAACAAAGAAAAGGCAGAAAUAUGAGGAUUUAUGAAAUUGUGAAAAGCUCUAUGAGAGUGUGCCAUGCCUUUCAGAUAUCAGCACUUUGAAGUGAUGUUUUUUAGUUUUUUGAGGUACUGAGUCAGUUGGAAAGCUGUAUUGAAAGUUCUCAGCAGGGAAUGAGGGCAGGUACUUCUUUUUUAGGGAUCUUGGUAGGUGUGGUUCUGGGUAGGACAACUAAAAUCUGUAACCUCACCUACCCAGACAGUGGUUUCUGUAAAUCUCAAUAGUUAAGCUGGCAGGGGUUUGAGAGCAUUCUUUGAAAUAUCCAAUUUUCACAGGAAAUGGUAGCAAUUCAAGACCUGGAUCCAGCUUUAGCCAAUAUAUCAAGAUGGUGAGGGUAAUGAUAACAAGGAACCAUUAGUUUUUCAGGGGUGAAGUGGUUUUUGUUCAAAUAUGUAGAUUGCCGUUGUUAUAAUUUUCUUUAUUUUCUUUCUCUCCCUCCCUGUUGGCCUUUUUCCCUUCCUUUCUCAUCUCUCUCUGAUUUUGUCACAAGAACUACUUGCUCCCCUCCCCAGAAUUAUGCACUUUUAACAAUUUGGCAGAUAUCCUUUAAUUCCUUUUUCUAUAUAUUUAUACACAUACACAAUUAGAAAUUGUUUUGUAGGUGGAUUAAAACUUUCUUAAUGUAAACAGGAUAUUCUGAGUUAAUAUCUAAAUUAUUUCUUCUCUCUUAAAAUG